ACAAAGCUCAUCUUUGAGAGCAUGCUGCCAGUUCUUAAAGUAAGUGGUAGAAAAUAAAAUUCAAGGUAGAUAGUUUUUAAAAGAGUUCUGCUGUCACUUACAAAUCCCAAUCCUCCAAAUCUGGUGGAUGGAACAGAGCCAGAGUAUCCUGUGCAGUAUUUACUGGCGUAUACUUUUUCAUAAGGUAGUUCGAGAAAAGCAGCUGCUAUUAAGUGGUUUUUAAAUGCACCGUGGUAAUUGUAUUCACUACUAAUGUUUAUGAUGUCCUCUGGCUUGAACCUUUCCACAUUCACUAGGUAUGCCCUAACAAAUGAAUCUCCAUCACAACCAAUUUUCUCGUUGUUCUU
rnacentral:lncRNA from 1 species